rnacentral:rRNA from 1 species
GAUGAACGCUGGCGGCGUGCCUAAUACAUGCAAGUCGAGCGAACGGACGAGAAGCUUGCUUCUCUGAUGUUAGCGGCGGACGGGUGAGUAACACGUGGAUAACCUACCUAUAAGACUGGGAUAACUUCGGGAAACCGGAGCUAAUACCGGAUAAUAUUUUGAACCGCAUGGUUCAAAAGUAAAAGACGGUCUUGCUGUCACUUAUAGAUGGAUCCGCGCUGCAUUAGCUAGUUGGUAGGUAACGGCUUACCAAGGCAACGAUGCAUAGCCGACCUGAGAGGGUGAUCGGCCACACUGGAACUGAGACACGGUCCAGACUCCUACGGGAGGCAGCAGUAGGGAAUCUUCCGCAAUGGGCGAAAGCCUGACGGAGCAACGCCGCGUGAGUGAUGAAGGUCUUCGGAUCGUAAAACUCUGUUAUUAGGGAAGAACAUAUGUGUAAGUAACUGUGCACAUCUUGACGGUACCUAAUCAGAAAGCCACGGCUAACUACGUG